UGGGGAAUAUUGGACAAUGGGCGCAAGCCUGAUCCAGCCAUUCCGCGUGCAGGACGAGGGCCUUCGGUUUGUAAACUGCUUUUGUACGGAACGAAAAGCCCUUCUCUAAUACAGAGAGGUCAUGGCGGUACCGUAAGAAUAAGGAUCGGCUAACUCCGUGCCAGCAGCCGCGGUAAUACGGAGGAUCCAAGCGUUAUCCGGAAUCAUUGGGUUUAAAGGGUCCGUAGGCGGUUUAAUAAGUCAGUGGUGAAAGCCCAUCGCUCAACGAUGGAACGGCCAUUGAUACUGUUAGACUUGAAUUACAAGGAAGUAACUAGAAUAUGUAGUGUAGCGGUGAAAGGCUUAGAUAUGCGGAGGAAAACCGAUGGCGAAGGCAAUCCCCUGAGCCUGCACUGACGCUCAUGCACGAAAGCGAGGGGAGCAAACA
rnacentral:rRNA from 1 species